GGGCGAUUGGCGCAGUUGGUAGCGCGCUUCCUUCACACGGAAGAGGUCAUCGGUUCGAGUCCGGUAUCGCCCACCACAC
rnacentral:tRNA from 1 species